rnacentral:ncRNA from 1 species
AUCUUCGGGGCAGGGUGAAAUUCCCUACCGGCGGUGAUGAGUUUUGACUCUAAGCCCGCGAGCCUUUUUUAGGCAGGAUUCGGUGAGAUUCCGGAGCCGACAGUAUAGUCUGGAUGGGAGAAGAUG